rnacentral:lncRNA from 1 species
AGAGAAGGCUUCAGAGGUGAAUCAGUGAGGAGAGGUUCCUGAGAGACGAACGGGCGUCGGAGGAGUUAUGUGCAGCACAACUGGGACGCGCUGGAGCACGUGACACAAGGCACUGUGUCACAGAAUCCCCAGACAUACAGCCUGUUGCAAGGGUGCAGAGGACUCAUGCUCCGGCUAGUCCCCACGCAGGCCUUUUGAGAAGGUGAAUCAGCGUGUGUUAGCUCAGGGCAGAGGGCCUGGCGGUGAGACGUGAGAACAGCCAAUGUCAUGGCGGUGGGGGAGUGGACGUGAGCCAUCUGGGGCCCAGCAAACAGCAUGUUGAAAAAAACGAGGAACUCAAAGGCAGAUGAGCCUACCACGCUGGGAACAGUUGGGAGUACAUUGCUCAAGGGCUUGGAAUGGAGGGGGUGGAGUUGAGGAGAUCACAGAGGACCUAGGAGUGUGUGUAUCGGAGAGAGAUAGGAAACCACUGACCGUUCAGCACACAUUCAGAAUUACUGCCUGUCCCAGGGAGGGACCCACAGCUCCGGCGCUCCGUUCAGCAUCUGGAAGAGCAUAGCUCGCUGUGAGCGGCCGCCCCAGAAGACUGUAUCCCACCCAGCCAGCUCUCCUGCCUGCUUGCCUCUGCCCCACACCAGGACACUUCAUACUGUCAGAACCACUGGGUGUGUGAGCUUGUGAGAGGGUGUGUGGGCACACAUGUCCCUGUGUGGGGUGUGGAGGUCAGAGGGCAACUUGGAGGAAUUGGUUCUCUCCUUCCACCACUGGGGCCCAGGAAUCAAGCCGAGGUUCCCAGACGUGGUAGCAGCCUCCCUUACCUGUUAAACCAGUGCUUCCCAGACUUCCUAAUGCUGUGACCUCAUGCUGUGCUGACCCCCGCCCAUGACAUUAUCUCUGUUGGUAUUUUAUAACUGUAAUUUUGCUACUAUUAUGAAUCACAAUGUAAA